rfam:Turicibacter sanguinis PC909 contig00032, whole genome shotgun sequence.
AAAUUUUAUAGGCAAAUUUGGAGAAAUCCAAAGACGCAAAGCUAAAGGGGCUAAGGUCAAUCGAGACUAUGCUAGCCAGUUGCCGAA